UCCCAGACUCCUAAGGGCGGCAGCAGUGGGGCCUCUUCCGCAAUGGGCGCCAGCCUGACGGAGCAACGCCGCGUGAUCGAAUGAAGGCCUUCGGGUUGUAACGAUCUGUUGACAGGGACGAAUAAGCAAUGCGAAUAGUUUUGUGUAUGACGGUACCUGUUUAGAAAGCUCCGGCUAACUACGUGCCAGCAGCCGCGGUAAUACGUAGGGUGCGAGCGUUAAUCGGAAUUACUGGGCGUAAAGCGCUCGUAGGCGGUAUGGCAAGGCAAGGGUGAAAGCCCCGCGCGCAACGGGGGAACGGCCGGGGAAACGGGCAAACUGGAGGGGGGGAGAGGAGAGGGGAAGGCCAGGGGGAGGAGUGAAAGCCGGAGAUAUCGGGAGGAACAUCAGGGGCGAAGGCGACGAUCGGGCACAUAACUGACGCUGAGGAGCGAAAGCGGGGGUAGCAAACAGGAGUAGAGACCCCGGUA
rnacentral:rRNA from 1 species